UNGCAAAUGUUGUUAUUAAUCAGACUGC
rnacentral:piRNA from 1 species